rnacentral:lncRNA from 1 species
CAUGUUCGAGUACUAGACCUACUAAUAUUAUGAGUACUUUAUGUUGUACUCCAAAAUUAUAAAGAUGUAGAUGUGCAAAUUGGGACAGGGUUGGUGAGCCCGCUUGGCAUUCGGUCCCAAUUUGGCAUGGGUUGGGCCGAGCUGAACCUUUGGUCAUGGAUCCAAACACCUUCGGCGAAGUAUAGCCUCUUUUAGCAGCCUGACCCAUUUUAGCCCAAAAUCCAACUCGUUGGCCCACAACCGCUAGGCCGCCCCUAUUUUUCAUUCAUAUAUGGGAGAUUGGUCCAUUCGAUUUGCAGUAGUUAUUUUAAAAAGCUUUACCCACGUUGGAAUACGAGUAGACGACCUCUGCUUUUAAAGUGGAGGCAUAAAGGCUUCGGGGGAGAAGUAGAGGACUUGUGAUGACUAGCCUCAUUGGAAUUUUUUAUUUUUUGGGGAUCAGUUUUAAUAUAUGAUGCCCAUGAACUUUAUAACUCUGGAUUUUGACAUAUAGAGAUUUUUUUUUAAUACAAGCAAUUUUUACUAUAUUUCUAAUCAGGGGAGGGGACGAGGUGCCAAUGUUUAAAACAAGACAUAGGCGGCCCUAAGCAUGGGUGAGGAAGGGAGACACCUCAAGGCCUCAUUUUUUUUUUGAAAAAUAGGACUCUAUUUUGGCAUAACUUAUGUACAAAGUUUCUACCAAAAAAUUAUAAUUUGAUGAUAGUUACUUUGACUAUGCUACAGUAAAAAAAUAUAAAGGUCAUAUCCGGCAGAACUCACCUAGGGCCUCGAAAUUCUUAGGAUUGACUCUGAAGCUUGAUAAGGUAGGUGAAGCAUUGGGUUUUUUACCACUAAGAAGAACGAAAUAUUAGGUUAUUGGGCUUCCUUGUUUGAUAUCCGUUGGUUGGGAGUCGGGACUGGAUGAAACCUGACUCUUAUGGCGUGUUUGUUUGCCCGGACUAGGUCGGACUGCACAACGAGUCCAUUCACAGUCCCGUGUUUGUUUGAUAAAAAUGGCUUCCCCAGACAUGGACAUCCUGUCCUAUGGUGAGAGUGUGGGAGAAAACAAUUGUCCGCUGGACUAAGACAUAGUAAAAUUACUAAUUUGCUCUCACACCUAUUAAUAAAAUACUUCCUCUCUACACCUUCUCUCUCUCCUCUUCGCUCCGUCUCUCCCCUUUCUCUCCUCUUCCUUUCUCUUCAUUUUUUAUAACUUUUUUUUAAUAUUUUUUUUAUUUUUUAUUAAUUAAUGUUUUUAUCAGUUUUUUUUUGAUAAACAAGCGCUUCUUAUUUGUUUAAAAUUACCCGGUUUUUCUAAAAAAAUAUUUUUUAAAAAUAUUUAAUCAAAAAAAUAUUAAUAAAAUAUUUUGAAAUAUAUAUUUAAUUGAGACCAAUUUUUUAGACCCUAUACUACUUUUAUUUUUAUAAACCAUCAAUAGUAUUAUUUUUUUAAAAAUACUGUUUUUUUCCGAAAUAAUAAUUUUUAUAAAUUAAAUCCAAAAUUUUACAUUUGAGAUUUUUAUCUCGUUAAGAGAAAAUCCCACCGUUUAAAAUUUAUAAAAUAUAUAGUUUAAAAUUAAUAUUUUUAGAUAUUUUUUAAUUAAUAUUUUUUAAAAAAAUAUUAAGCAAAAAAAAUAGUUUUGAAAUAUAUAUUUAUUGAGAAUAAUUUAUUUUUCAAACAAUAAAGUUAUUUUUUAAAAAUAAUAUGUUUUUUUCAUAAAUAAUAUUUUUUAUAAAUUAUUUUUUACAAAUUAAAUAAAAAAAAUUAUAUUUUCCAGAGUCUUAUCCUCGUUAAGAGAAAAUAAAAAAAUUUAAAAUUUUAAUCAAAAUAUAUAUUCAAAAUUAUUAUUUUUAUAUAUUUUUUAGUCAAAUUUUAAAAAAUAUAUUUUUUCAGAAAAAUGGAUAAUUUUUUUUAAAAAAAUUUGUUUAUAUCUCCAAAAAUAAAUAAACUGAUAAAAAAAUUAUUUAAAUAAUAAAAAAAAAUAUUAAAAAAAACCUUAUUAAAAAAAACAAAACUAAAAAAAAAAGGAAAGAGAGAGGAGAGAGAGUAAUUGUCUAAUAUGUGUGAGGGCAAAGAACUAUCACUUAUUUAGAGUUUUGUCCGGAGCAAAACAAACAGCUACACAAUAGAUUUAGUCCGACAUUAUAUCCGGGGACUCCUUAUCCAGUCCGGAGACUCCUUAUCCAGUCCGGUAAACAAACGAGGCCUUAUGAUUUGGAGAUGGAUUGUUAUUUACAACCCGUUUGACAGCAGAAGAUGAUUUUGGUAGAUUUGGAAUGAGGGAAAGGAGGGAUGAUUUAUAAUAAGGGGCCCACCUUUUAAGAAGGGUGAAUUUAUAGUUUGGUGUUUGGAUGUGUUUUGAAGAAUGUGGAUUUAGAAGUUGGAUAUGCUGGGAUAAAAUGUAAAAAGACAAAAUUAGCCCCACUUCAUUAAUUAGUUGUUAAUAUUAAAUAUAAUUUCGUUUAAUUAGAUAAAAUAUAUAUUAAUUAAUAUUUAGAUGAUUAAAAUAAAAAAUUUUACUUUUAAAUGUUAAUAUAUAAUUUGAUAUUUUUGGAUUAAAUUAUCCAAAAUUAAUUAUUUAGUAAUAUAUUAGGUAAAAAUAUAUUACUUUCAAAAUUUUGAGCCUAGAAAGAUUCAAGCAAUCAAAUUUUGAAAUAUUACUUGAAAUUUUUAAUAUUAAUUAUGUAUGAAUAUUACAAAAAAGUUGACCAACCCAAAACGUAAAAAAAACUAGUAAAAGAUGAAAACAAGUCUUUAACUUUUGAUCAAGAUUUUUUAAUUUUUAACUUUGUCUUAAUAGCUAUUAAAAAUUAAAAAAAGAUAAAUAUAAAAAAUAUUUGAAGAAAAAAUCCAAUACAAACCAAAUCUGUAACCCAUGAGCCAAAAGUAUCCUUGUAGUUUAGAAAAUGUUUCACUUUGAUUCUUAUAGUUUUAAUUUAAAUAAUUACAAUCUUGUAAUUUCAAUUGAUUCCAAUCUAAUCCUCGAAAAUACCAGUUAAUAAUUUGAAGCAUAGUAAACACAGGGACGCAAUCUAAUCCUCUCGACAUACCAUUGAACAAGGAUUGGAGCCAAAAGAUUCUAAUUUCUCAAAUUGAAACUAUAGAUAUCAAAGUAAACUUUAGUCAAACUAUAGGGACCAAUAGUGAAGUUCAUAUAAAAAACUUCAUAUGCAUUUUUUAUGGAUUCUAAAUGCUUAAAAACACAAGGGAGGUCAUUCCUAGGGAGGCCCCACCCGAAUAGAUCAAACUUACGAGGAUGCACCGUAGCACACAUGGCCUCGACCACACUAUAUAAAACUCUAAGUCAUUUUCUAUAAUUAAAAGGACCCGAUUUUCCCACUCUCUCCUUCCUUUCUCUUAAUAGAGAUUGACCCCAAAAACGAGGGCCACAACGGUCAUUGCAACCACGCAAGGGGUUCGCCGUGACCCGGACGGCGGUGUACCACUGUCCGUGCCAUCUCGGCUGUGGCUGGAUUUAGAUGCCAAUGGGAGAAGAAUCAGGGAGAGGAAAAUGGUCGCCAAACUCAGGGAUAGACAAAAAAAAAAAAAAAAAAAGAGGAAGAAGAAAUUUGGGAGUGGCCAAAUCCGGGACCAUCUCCGAACACCAAACAGGGUGUUAAGGAGUUCGUGAUGGUUUAUUUAUUUAUUUAUUUAUGAAUAAUGAGGUAAUUAGAGCCAGACAAAGAUUGAAAAGUUAGUAGUCCCGUUUAAGGAUACUUCCAGCUGAUUAAGAUGACAACAUCGCAACGAUUAGUUAUUAAAUGCUAAAGCAAAUGCCAUUUAAAAAAUUUCUGAUGAUGCAGUGCAAUUUAUUUAAAAAGGUAAAUUUCGUUGACCAUUCUUAAUUUUUUUAAUAAAUACAAUUUUCUCUUUUGUAGUUUUAAAAAUAACACAGUUUUUAUUUUUAAAACUAAUAUUAAUAUUUUUUUUUGAAGCUAUAUUUUUGGUAAAAAUAACAAAAUUACCCUUUGAUUUAGAGAUUAUAAUUUUUUUCUCACUAAACAUUAAAAUUUAAAAAAAAAUUUUAUUUAUUUUAAUUAGUGUAUUGAAAAAAAUAUUGUUAUUUUUGUACAAAAAUUAUCUCAAAAAAUAUUAAUAUUAAUUUUAAAAAUAGUAUUGAUAAAAAUAACACAGUUUUUAUUUUUAAAACUAAUAUUAAUAUUUUUGUUUGAAGCUAUUUUUUGGAUAAAAAUAACAAAAUUACCCUUUGAUUUAGAUAUUAUAAUUUUUUUCUCACUAAACAUUAAAAUUUUUUAAAAAAAUUAUUUAUUUUAAUUAGUGUAUUGAAAAAAAUAUUGUUAUUUUUGUACAAAAAUUAUCUCAAAAAAUAUUAAUAUUAAUUUUAAAAAUAAAAAAUAUCAAUACUAUUUUUUAAACUAUAUAGAAAAUUCUCAAGAACUAUGACCUGAAAUAUUUAAACCCCUGGUAUUUUCAGAAGUUCCCCCUUCUUCCCGAAUCCCGCUCAGCAUAAUUCUCUAUCUAAAAUUCGCUCCAUCUACCGACAUGUAGAACGAGAUAUCUAGAGAGAGAGAGGGAGAUGGUAUGCGGCAACACAUUCUCAAAGACCAUAUGCUCGAUCUGCUACGAAGAUCUCAAGCCCAUUUUCGAAGAUCUCCAUUUGCGGUCACGUCUUACGUGAGCCCUGGUCAGUCACUUAUAUCGAAUCUGAAACCUUAGCCUGCAACAAUAUUCAAUGCAUAUGCAUUGAUUUCGUAUAAUCUAUAGAUUUCAUCAUGACAUUUUUUUUAAUUGUUUUUUGUUUUGGGAUUGAAACCCUAGUCUUCAACAAUGGUUCAAGUACUGUUCAAAUGCGAACAAGAAAAGUUGUCCUGUGUGCAAGCAGACCUGUUCUGAGGUGAAUGUGAGUUGACUUUAUUUCCAGUCGGUCGGCAAUCAGAGUCUUUCUCAGAAAUUUGUCAAUUGCGAAGAAGAUCCAGGGGAGUUGCAAAGGGAAAUCGAGAGAUUAGAGGCGAAGGUUUCGGGACUCGGUUCGGAUUUAGAGCUUUACAAGAAAGAUGUCAAAGAACUCAGCGAGAAGGUAAUUUGAUCUCCUUACUGUUUGAUUUUGAUUUGAGUAAAAAUUAUGAUGGAAAGUGGAAUUGAAGUGAGAGAAAGGAAAAUAUUUUCUCAUAUGCAUUUGGUUAAAAUGAAAAUUUUAUUAAAAAAUUCUAAGAAAAUUUUAAAGUUACUAAAUUACCCUCCUCGUCCAAUUUGGAUUGGAAUAGGGUGGACCAGUGAUGGCCAAAGUUAAAGCCUCCAAUAUUAUACGUUAAAACCUUCCCCAUAGUCAAUGGAGCCAGUUCACUCAAAUGAUAUUGAUGCGUAUCUUGUAAAAUCAAAAUAAAUUACUUUAAUUACAGACUAGUUUUGACAGUUUCAACGAACAACGGUGAUGCAGCAGCAAAAGCCAUAACUUGAAUUUGCGAAGUUGGGUUUACAAGAGAAAUUAUGUUUCAUCCAACAAUAUGUACCUGUGAAUGGAAGGCCGUGGCCAGAUUGUGGUUGAUGGUGGGCGGAAACGGGUUUAUCCUCUUGAGCUUCUCAUUCUGUAGGUGGAAGGAUGAAGAAGACGAUUAAAAUUUUUGGGAAGGUUUUAACAGACAAUAAUAGAGGCUCCAUUGACUAUGAAAGAUUGGUGAAUAAUCCAGUUCUUAGGAAAAUUGAGAGGAGACAGACUCUAAUCAAUUGUCUACUUUGGUCCAUUUGCUUUGAAGGAAGAGAACAAUGAAAUGUUAAACAAGUGAAGUAAAAUAAAGGCCCAGGAAGAGAAAAUAUCAUGCAUUUGAUUCGAGUGAAAUUUUACAAGAGGAUAUUAAGCAACUAUCAUUUAAUAGCAUAGUUGUCAAAACGUGAAUCGGAUUCGAUUGUGAAUCAAAAUUGCAUCUUUAUAAAUUGUGAAUUGUAAAGAUUCAGUCUUAAUUUUUAAAGCAUAAGGAAAAAUCUAUUUAUGUGUUUAGAUAUUAGAUGUAUUUUGUAAAUAUGAAAAUUUUAUAUUUAAAGUAAUGUACACUUAUGAUGAACACCUAGUCUAUUAGGUAAAGAUGCUUGCUUAUAUGACAACAGAAUUGAGUAUGAGCCUCGGAUUUCCUCUAUGAUGUAUGAUUAUUGAUUAUUGCAUGAUUCAAAAAUUAAAGAAAACAUAAAUUUAAAAGAUAAAUUUGACAAAAUGUGCAUGAAUUGGAUAUUAUACACCAAAAUUUCAUGUAUGAUAAACAUUUAGAGAAAUUGAAAGCAAAAUUGUAAAAUACUGAGUUUGUGAUUUAGUUAUGUUUAUUUUUCCAAAAUUGAGUACAUAAUUCAUAAGUACAAAUUGUUCUAAAUUUAAACGUCUUCUAAAAAUUUAUUUUGACAUUUUUUAGAAACAAUAAUAAAAAGGGUUGAGAACAUCUCAUUAAAUACUCUAAUCUCUAAAUGACAAAUAAAUUAUGCAAAUGUAUGCUAUUUUUGUGCUAAACACUUUAUAAAGUUAUAUUAUCUUGUUUUUAACUAAAAAAAUAAGGUAAAAAUGCUUCCUAAUGUAUGGAAUGGAGCAAUUUUAAGAAUAUCAAAUUGCUAUUUAAAUCUUCAAAUUCUAGCUUAUUAAAUUGGUACUAAAUUUGCUUGUAUGCUUAUUCUAGUUGUUUUUAUAAUUUUUUUGUUUGAUUAUGGAAACUUUUGUAUCAGCUGCGUUGGAAUAAGGAGCAGGCUGACAAAGAAGCAAAGAAGAUGGGGUUUUGAAGAAUAUUUUUGUAUCAAAUUGAUUUGUAUAAUGAAACCACUUUGAUUUGCAUCUAAGGUUAGAACACCGGAGCUCUAAGAGCACUAAAUAAUUUCUUCUAGAAAAAAUACAUAGCUCCCUAUCCUACUCAGAUUGUGCUAAAGAAUGAUGUAUUCAUUCAAACAACGAAGAAGAUAACAAAGAAAAAAAAUCAAGAAAGAUUGAAAAAAAAAUUGCAGCAUAUUUGUGAUGCCAUAAAAUUAAAACACAAUUCGAUUUCACAGCAAACAAAUAUAACACUGUUUGGUUGCUGCGAAAAUAAAGGAAUCCCCUUCUUAUUCGUGUUACACAAAGAAGGAAAAAAUGAACCCUUAUAUUGUAUUGGAAUCAAGGGUUUUGUGGAGUUGUAAUACAAAUUCAAGAUGUUUUUUUCUUUAUUUUUUUUUUCCUAAAAAAAUUCGUCCACUCCACAAAUUACUGAUCCAAACAUAGCCCAAUGAACAGAGAUACGAGGGUUAGACAAAGCAGAAAUGGGAAGAACACAAGCAAAUUAUUAUGCGAUUAAUUGGUAAGAAAAACAAAGGAGAAUAAAAUCAAAUGCAAAUAAUCAUGUUUUCUCCUAACAUAAGUUGCAAUUUCUUUGCAUCCAAACAUGUUAAUAGGGUUUGAGAGAGAGAGAGAGAGUUUACUGCAAUGUCUCGAUUUGAUCUUUCUGGGCUGCUAUAGAUAAUUUUCUCCCACUGUCCAGUCAAUUUUCUUGCUCUUUGAAUACUGCAUUUUCUUUCGAAAAUUCUCUUUGGAUUUACAAUUUCAAAAGGGUAUU